rnacentral:tRNA from 1 species
GCGAUGUUGGUAUAGUGGUAGAACAGAACCUUGCCAAGGUUCGGGCACCAGUUCGAUUCUGGUACGUCGCUCCA